rnacentral:tRNA from 1 species
GGGUGAUUAGCUCAGCUGGGAGAGCAGCUGCCUUACAAGCAUCGGGUCGGCGGUUCGAUCCCGUCAUCACCCACCA